GGGUGGUAACAUCCAUAAAUAAUUAAUGAUAAUUGUGCAACAAUCUGGUCACUAAGGAAAGUUUCAUAGAUACACAGAUUUGCUUUUACAUUAUCCUGGGCACCUCAGCUCAGUAACAUUUGUGCCUAAGAGAAGAAUUUAAGCAAUCGAUAUCUGUUUGUCUCAUCACAGAAUGGUUUCAGAGCAUCUCCUUUGAAAUGGAAAGAAGUAGACCCAGGGAAAUAUAUCCAACCCAUCUUUGAAUAGUUACUUCUUGCACCUAGCACAUCUGGAAAUAACAUAUGCUUUCCAGACAGCAAUAAAGAGCUACAUUUGAAUGAAAUAGCUUUGCUCUUUGCAGCAGAGGAACAGAUUUUCCAGGCUAAGGAGAGCUCCAUGUUGCCGAGGCCAGACUGCUUCCAGUAGCUGAUGCGGAACCUUUGAAGCAAGCUCUAUUCUCAUAGAAACAACCCAGUAGUGAAUGAAAGCAGCAUAAUUUCACCCCAUUAGAAUCACAAUUUUUUUUUAUAAUCUCACAUGGGUCAAGAACAGCCAAUUUCAAGAAGAGCACAAGACUGAAUUCAGGUAAAUCUUCUGUAUAAAAGUACAGGUGGAUAUCAGGAAUAACGAUUACCUAAAUUUGCAAUUUUGUAUCUCUGUUGAAUCAGAGAACUGACUGUUCAGGAAGAGCAGAAAAUGAUAACAGACAAUUUUGUUUAUCAGCCAUUACAUUGUACCAUGGUGUUUGAGAGCACUUUUGUUCAAAAGUAGGAAGCUGAUUUUAUAAGGUACGCACAAACGCUAUCUGAAGAAUGACCCAUUUGUCAGACCAGGUUGUUGAAAAGCAUGGAAUUUUUCCUUCUAUGAAAACAAAAAAAUUUCUAUGUGUUCAAUGCUUAUUUUCAUUUGUAAACAGGUCUGAUGUAUUCUCAGACAGGUUCUGCAAUGUAUUUUGUCUGUGUCCAUGACUGUCUUAAAAUCAGUGUUGCAUAUUUUUUUUCUUUGUAUUCUUUUCAGGAGAAUAUCUUGCCUUUCUGAAGAGAUUAGCAUCAGGAAUUCUAGUCAGAUCAGAUAAAAUGAGUCACGAGUUUACUGAAAAUUACGGAAGGAAAAAUAGAAAGAAACAAUGAUGGAAAAAAAUAAUCUGACAACAGUUCAUGAAUUGAUUCUACGUAAUUAUUCCACUUUGUAAAUAAUGGUAUAAGAAAAGAUAACUGCUUCAUCAGAUUUCUGCUUCGGAAACUAUUUAGCUGCCAAGUGAUGAGUGUUACCCAUUAGAAAUACUUACAUAUAAUUGCAUUGACCUUCAUAUACUUAUAUGUCCGUUAAUGAUUUCCUCAUGGCUUUGCCAGAGUUCCUACUUUUCUUCUGUAUUUGAAAUUAAUAAAAGAAAUGACCAUCUUUUGGUAAUUAUUUCUGAAUUUUUAAAAAAUUUAAGUACUUUUUCAUUCAAACUCCUGUAGUUUGAAGUCUCUUUCAAAGCAGACCUUUGUUCUGAAUUUUCCUUAAAACUGCAUAACCAUUCUCAGAAUUAUGUCAACUCAUAUAGCUGAAAUUUGAAAACAGAUUUCUCUAAGUAGUUUCUUAGCUGCAAACUAAGACGCAUAUAAGUAUUACAGUGGAAAAUCUCUCAGAGUAAGCAAUAUUUCUGCUACUUUUACACUGAGCACAGCCACAUG